GGUUGUGGCUCAGCGGUAGAGCACUUGCCUAGCACCUGGGAGGCAUUGAGUUCGAUCCUCAGCACCA
rnacentral:tRNA from 1 species